CUACCUCUUGAGCCACAGCACCACUUCUGGCUUUUUCUAUAUAUGUGGUGCUGAGGAAUCGAACCCAGGGCUUAAUGCAUGCUAUGCAAGCACUCUACCACUAAGCCACAUUCCUAGCCCCCAUAGGGUUGUUUUUACAAUUUUUCUAUAACUCCAAAUUUGCCAAAAGGAAAAAAAAGACUUGAAACCUGAAAGGGGAAACUAUUAUGUCUUCCUAGACAAAAGGGGUAUCCAAAGUGCAGCUUAACCAUGAGCUGGAGCUAGAGGAAUGUGCUCAAAUAUACAAGUAUCCCCAAACCAUUCCACAAAUUGCCUUAGAUGGCCUUACCUCCCAUUGUCUGUGUGGGCUCCAAUACAGGGAAAGACAUAGACUCACAGUAUAUUAGCCUAUCAGGAUUGUAAU